rnacentral:rRNA from 1 species
CAGUCGCCGCGGUAAGACAGAGGAUGCAAGCGUUAUCCGGAAUGAUUGGGCGUAAAGCGUGCGCAGGCGGUUAUAUAAGACAGAUGUGAAAUCCCCGGGCUCAACCUGGGAACUGCAUUUGUGACUGUAUAGCUAGAGUACGGCAGAGGGGGAUGGAAUUCCGCGUGUAGCAGUGAAAUGCGUAGAUAUGCGGAGGAACACCGAUGGCGAAGGCAAUCCCCUGGGCCUGUACUGACGCUCAUGCACGAAAGCGUGGGGAGCAAACAGGAUUAGAUACCCCAGUAGUCCCUGUCUCUUAUAA